rnacentral:rRNA from 1 species
AUUGAACGCUGGCGGCAUGCUUUACACAUGCAAGUCGAACGGUAACAGGGAAAAGCUUGCUUUUCUGCUGACGAGUGGCGAACGGGUGAGUAAUACAUCGGAACGUGCCCUGUAGUGGGGGAUAACUACUCGAAAGAGUGGCUAAUACCGCAUACAACCUGAGGGUAAAAGUAGGGGGACCGGCAAGGCCUCACGCUAUAGGAGCGGCCGAUGGAAGAUUAGGUAGUUGGUAGGGUAAAGGCCUACCAAGCCGACGAUCUUUAGUCGGGUCGUGAGAGGACGAUCCGCCACACUGGGACGUGAGACACGGCCCACGACUCCUACGGGAGGGCAGCAGUGGGGAAGUUUU